GCUGUGGAACUCCUACGGGAGGCAGCAGUGGGGAAUCUUGCGCAAUGGGCGGAAGCCUGACGCAGCAACGCCGCGUGAGGGAAGACGGUCUUCGGAUUGUAAACCUCUUUCAGGGGGGACGAAGCUUCCGAGGUUAAUAGCCUACGGGGUGACGGUACCCCCAGAAGAAGCCCCGGCUAACUACGUGCCAGCAGCCGCGGUAAUACGUAGGGGGCGAGCGUUGUCCGGAAUCAUUGGGCGUAAAGCGCGUGUAGGCGGCUUGGUAAGUCUGGUGUGAAAUCUUGGGGCUCAACCCCAAGCCUGCACUGGAUACUGCCUCGCUAGAGUCCGGGAGGGGAGAGUGGAAUUCCCAGUGUAGCGGUGAAAUGCGCAGAUAUUGGGAAGAACACCGGUGGCGAAGGCGGCUCUCUGGAACGGUACUGACGCUGAGACGCGAAAGCGUGGGGAGCGAACAGGAUUAGAUACCCCAGUAGUCCUACCACGU
rnacentral:rRNA from 1 species